rnacentral:lncRNA from 1 species
GGGACAACUGACUGUAACUUGAAUUGGCUCAUGAACCAGAAUAUAGGAAAGUGAAUCUCCAAGAGAAAGGGCCAGAUAAAGAAAACAAAUUAUACUGUUACCUGAGGUGGAAAUAUCAACAUGUAGAACUCACAGCUCCUUCUCCAGAACCAUGUAUGCCUGCAUGCCAUCAUAUCCUACCAUGACAAUGGACUGACCCUCUGAACUUAAGCCACCCAAUUAAAUGUUAAGUGUUACCAUGGUCAUGGUGUCUAUUCAGAAUAUUAGAAAUUCUAACUAAGGAUUCUCUGAAAUUUGAGAGGAGGGACUUGAUGGAGACAUCC